UCCGUAGGUGAACCUGCGGAAGGAUCAUUACUAGAGCAAAGGAUAGACAGCGCCCGCGGAGCUCGCUCCCGGGGCUACCCUACUCCCGUAGGGUUUAGAGUCGUCGGGCCUCUCGGAGAAGCUCGGUCCUGAACUCCACCCUUGAAUAAAUUACCUUUGUUGCUUUGGCGGGCCGCCUCGUGCCAGCGGCUUCGGCUGUUGAGUGCCCGCCAGAGGACCCCAACUCUUGUUUUUAGUGAUGUCUGAGUACUAUAUAAUAGUUAAAACUUUCAACAACGGAUCUCUUGGUUCUGGCAUCGAUGAAGAACGCAGCGAAAUGCGAUAAGUAAUGUGAAUUGCAGAAUUCAGUGAAUCAUCGAAUCUUUGAACGCACAUUGCGCCCUCUGGUAUUCCGGGGGGCAUGCCUGUUCGAGCGUCAUUAUAACCACUCAAGCUCUCGCUUGGUAUUGGGGUUCGCGGUUUCGCGGCCCCUAAAAUCAGUGGCGGUGCCUGUCGGCUCUACGCGUAGUAAUACUCCUCGCGAUUGAGCCCGGUAGGUCUACUUGCCAGCAACCCUAAUUUUUUAAGGGGGUUGGACCUCCGGGGGAUCAGGGUAGGGGGAUACCC
rnacentral:rRNA from 1 species